rnacentral:rRNA from 1 species
UAGUCCACGCCGUAAACGAUGAGAACUAAGUGUUGGGGUUACCCAGUGCUGAAGUUAACGCAUUAAGUUCUCCGCCUGGGGAGUACGACCGCAAGGUUGAAACUCAAAGGAAUUGACGGGUCUCCGCACAAGCGGUGGAGCAUGUUGUUUAAUUCGAAGAUACGCGAAGAACCUUACCAGGUCUUGACAUCUUCUUGAUCGCUCUAGAGAUAGAGUUUCCCUUCGGGGCAAGAAUGACAGGUGGUGCAUGGUUGUCGUCAGCUCGUGUCGUGAGAUGUUGGGUUAAGUCCCGCAACGAGCGCAACCCCUAUUAAUAGUUGCUAACAUUAAGUUGAGGACUCUAUUGAGACUGCCAGUGAUAAACUGGAGGAAGGUGGGGAUGACGUCAAAUCAUCAUGCCCCUUAUGACCUGGGCUACAAACGUGCUACAAUGGAUGGUACAAAGAGUUGCCAACCCGCGAGGGGGAGCGUAACCUUUUAAAACCAUUCUCAGUUCGGAUAGAAGUCUGCAACUCGUA